UACGUAGGGGGCGAGCGUUGUCCGGAAUUACUGGGCGUAAAGGGAGUGUAGGCGGCUAUGUAAGUUGGAUGUGAAAUACCCGGGCUUAACUUGGGGGCUGCAUCCAAUACUGCAUGGCUAGAGUACAGGAGAGGAAAGCGGAAUUCCUAGUGUAGCGGUGAAAUGCAUAGAUAUUAGGAGGAACAUCGGUGGCGAAGGCGGCUUUCUGGACUGACACUGACGCUGAGGCUCGAAAGUGUGGGGAGCAAACAGG
rnacentral:rRNA from 1 species